AAACCAACGGGGGAUUGCCUCAGUAGCGGCGAGUGUAGCGGCCAAAAGCUCCAUUUUGAAAGCUCUUCGGAGCGUUGUAGAUUGGUGGGAAGCUAACGGCUGGUGGGAGACCAAGUCCUCUGGAACGAGGCGCCAUAGAGGGUGAGAGCCCCGUGUGUCUCCUUUACCGACCUUUCAGCCCCCUCCGCGGAGUCGAGUUGUUUGGGAAUGCAGCUCUAAGCGGGUGGUAAAUUCCAUCUAAGGCUAAAUAUUGGCGAGAGACCGAUAGCGAACAAGUACAGUGAUGGAAAGAUGAAAAGCACUUUGAAAAGAGAGUGAAACAGUACGUGAAAUUGUUGAAAGGGAAGGGUAUUUGGCCCGACAUGGGUCCUAUGCACCGUUGCCUCUCGUGGGCGGCGCUCUGCUUGGGCCUGGGCCAGCGUCAGUUUGGAGGGGGCGAGAAGGGUUUUGGGGAGUUGCCUAGCAAUUCCCCUUUGCUAGAUUGCCCCACACCGGACUGAGGACCGCCAUCUGUAGGAUGCUGGCACAACGGCCAAAUACCCCCGUCUGAAA
rnacentral:rRNA from 1 species